rnacentral:rRNA from 1 species
AGCAGCCGCGGUAAUUCCAGCUCCAAUAGCGUAUAUUAAAGUUAGUUGCAGUUAAAAAGCUCGUAGUUGAAUUUCGGGAUCAAUAUUUCGGUCAUGCCGUUGGUAUGCACUGUUAUCAUUGAUUUCUCACCUUCUAAAGAACCGUAAUGCCAUUAAUUUGGUGUUACGGGGAAUUAGGACUGUACCUUAGAAAAAUUGAGUGUUUAAAGCAGGCUCACGCUUUGAAUACAUUAGCAUGGAAUAAUGAAAUAGGACAUCCGAUUCUAUUUUGUUGGUUUCUAGGAUCGAUGUAAUGAUUAAUAGGGAUAGUUGGGGC